AUGAAGCUGGAGUUGCUAGUAAUCGCGAAUCAGCAUGUCGCGGUGAAUACGUUCCCGGGCCUUGUACACACCGCCCGUCACACCAUGAGAGUUGGCAAUACCCAACGUACGUGAUCUAACCCGCAAGGGGGGAAGCGUCCUAAGGUAGGGUCAGCGAUUGGGGUGAAGUCGUAACAAGGUAGC
rnacentral:rRNA from 1 species